CCUACGGGUGGCUGCAGUGGGGAAUAUUGGACAAUGGGGGGAACCCUGAUCCAGCCAUGCCGCGUGUGUGAAGAAGGCCCUCGGGUUGUAAAGCACUUUCAGUGAGGAAGAACGCCUGGUGGUUAAUACCCAUCAGGAAAGACAUCACUCACAGAAGAAGCACCGGCUAACUCCGUGCCAGCAGCCGCGGUAAUACGGAGGGUGCGAGCGUUAAUCGGAAUUACUGGGCGUAAAGCGCGCGUAGGUGGCUUGAUAAGCCGGUUGUGAAAGCCCCGGGCUCAACCUGGGAACGGCAUCCGGAACUGUCAAGCUAGAGUGCAGGAGAGGAAGGUAGAAUUCCCGGUGUAGCGGUGAAAUGCGUAGAGAUCGGGAGGAAUACCGGUGGCGAAGGCGGCCUUCUGGACUGACACUGACACUGAGGUGCGAAAGCGUGGGUAGCAAACAGGAUUAGAUACCCGAGUAGUC
rnacentral:rRNA from 1 species